ACUCCUACGGGAGGCAGCAGUGGGGAAUAUUGCACAAUGGGCGCAAGCCUGAUGCAGCCAUGCCGCGUGUGUGAAGAAGGCCUUCGGGUUGUAAAGCACUUUCAGUCGUGAGGAAGGUAGUGUAGUUAAUAGCUGCAUUAUUUGACGUUAGCGACAGAAGAAGCACCGGCUAACUCCGUGCCAGCAGCCGCGGUAAUACGGAGGGUGCGAGCGUUAAUCGGAAUUACUGGGCGUAAAGCGUACGCAGGCGGUUUGUUAAGCGAGAUGUGAAAGCCCCGGGCUCAACCUGGGAACUGCAUUUCGAACUGGCAAACUAGAGUGUGAUAGAGGGUGGUAGAAUUUCAGGUGUAGCGGUGAAAUGCGUAGAGAUCUGAAGGAAUACCGAUGGCGAAGGCAGCCACCUGGGUCAACACUGACGCUCAUGUACGAAAGCGUGGGGAGCAAACGGGAUUAGAUACCCUGGUAGCGAGUA
rnacentral:rRNA from 1 species